rnacentral:lncRNA from 1 species
CAGGAAGAGAAGAGAAGGGAAGAGAAUAGAAGGUACAGGAAGAGAAGAGAAGGGAAGAGAAUAGAAGGUACAGGAAGAGAAGAGAAGGGAAGAGAAUAGAAGGUACAGGAAGAGAAGAGAAGGGAAGAGAAUAGAAGGUACAGGAAGAGAAGAGAAGGGAAGAGAAUAGAAGGUACAGGAAGAGAAUAGAAGGUACAGGAAGAGAAGAGAAGGGAAGAGAAUAGAAGGUACAGGAAGAGAAGAGAAGGGAAGAGAAUAGAAGGUACAGGAAGAGAAGAGAAGGGAAGAGAAUAGAAGGUACAGGAAGAGAAUAGAAGAGACAGGAAGAGAAGAGAAGAGACAAGAAGAGAAGAGACAGGGAGAGGAGAGAAGAGAAGAGACAGGAAGAGAACAGAAGGUACAGGAAGAGAAGAGAAGAUACAGGAAGAGGAGAGAAGAGAAGAGAGGUGAAGACACAGGAAGAGAAGAGAAGAGAGGAGAAGAGACAGGAAGAUAAGAGAAGAGACCAGGAAGAGAAGAGACAGGAAGAGGAGAGAAGAAACAGGAAGCGAAGAGAAGAAACAGGAAGCGAAGAGAAGAAACAGGAAGAAAAGGGAAGAUACAGGAAGAGAAGAGAAGAGAGGAGAAGAGACAGGAAGAUAAGAGAAGAGACAGUAAGAGAAGAGACAGGAAGAGAAGAGAAGAGACCAGGAAGAGAAGAGACAGGAAGAGGAGAGACAGGAAGAGAAGAUACAGGAAGAGAAGAGAAGGGAAGAGAAGAGAAGAGAAGAAACAGGAAGAGAAGAGAAGAAACAGGAAGCGAAGAGAAGAAACAGGAAGAAAAGGGAAGAUACAGGAAGAGAAGAGAAGAGAGGAGAAGGGAAGACAAGAUAAGAUAAGAUACAGGAAGAGAAGGGAAGAGAAUAGAAGGUACAGGAAGAGAAGAGAAGGGAAGAGAAUAGAAGGUACAGGAAGAGAAGAGAAGGGAAGAGAAUAGAAGGUACAGGAAGAGAAGAGAAGGGAAGAGAAUAGAAGGUACAGGAAGAGAAGAGAAGGGAAGAGAAUAGAAGGUACAGGAAGAGAAGAGAAGGGAAGAGAAUAGAAGGUACAGGAAGAGAAGAGAAGGGAAGAGAAUUGAUCACAUUAUAGAACAGCCCCUCUGGACAUCCUGUUGUUUAUUUUACAACGUGAGACAGGGCUCUCUCUCUCUUUCCUCCUCUCUCUCUGUCCUCCUCUCUCUCUGCCCUCCUCUUUCUCUGUCCUCCUCUCUCUCUUUCCUCCUCCUGUCUCCCUCUCUCUCUCUGCCCUCAACUCUCUCUCUGUCCUCCUCUCUCUCUGUCCUCCUCUCUCUCUUUCCUCCUCCUGUCUCCCUCUCUCCUCUGUCCUCAACUCUCUCUCUGUCCUCCUCUCUCUCUGUCCUCCUCUCUCUCUGUCCUCCUCCUGUCUCCCUCUCUCCUCUGUCCUCAACUCUCUCUCUGCCCUCCUCUUUCUCUGUCCUCCUCUCUCUCUUUCCUCCUCCUGUCUCCCUCUCUCCUCUGUCCUCAACUCUCUCUCUG